UAAGUCCCGCAACGAGCGCAACCCCUGUCCUUAGUUGCCAUCAUUCAGUUGGGCACUCUAAGGAGACUGCCGGUGACAAACCGGAGGAAGGUGGGGAUGACGUCAAGUCAUCAUGGCCCUUAUGGCCAGGGCUACACACGUGCUACAAUGGCAAGUACAAAGGGUUGCUAACUCGCGAGGGUGUGCUAAUCCCAUAAAGCUUGUCGUAGUCCGGAUCGCAGUCUGCAACUCGACUGCGUGAAGUCGGAAUCGCUAGUAAUCGCGGAUCAGAAUGCCGCGGUGAAUACGUUCCCGGGCCUU
rnacentral:rRNA from 1 species